rnacentral:rRNA from 1 species
ACGAACGCUGGCGGCGUGCUUCACACAUGCAAGUCGAACGGAAAGGCCCUGCUUUUGUGGGGUGCUCGAGUGGCGAACGGGUGAGUAACACGUGAGUAACCUGCCCUUGACUUUGGGAUAACUUCAGGAAACUGGGGCUAAUACCGGAUAGGAGCUCCUGCUGCAUGGUGGGGGUUGGAAAGUUUCGGCGGUUGGGGAUGGACUCGCGGCUUAUCAGCUUGUUGGUGGGGUAGUGGCUUACCAAGGCUUUGACGGGUAGCCGGCCUGAGAGGGUGACCGGCCACAUUGGGACUGAGAUACGGCCCAGACUCCUGCGGGAGGCAGCAGUGGGGAAUAUUGCACAAUGGGCGGAAGCCUGAUGCAGCAACGCCGCGUGCGGGAUGACGGCCUUCGGGUUGUAAACCGCUUUCGCCUGUGACGAAGCGUGAGUGACGGUAAUGGGUAAAGAAGCACCGGCUAACUACGUG